rnacentral:rRNA from 1 species
UUUGGUGACGAUAGCAAAGAGGAUACACCUGUUCCCAUCCCGAACACAGUAGUUAAGCUCUUUAGCGCCGAUGGUAGUUGGGGGUCUCCCCCUGUGAGAGUAGGACGUUGCCAAGC